rnacentral:rRNA from 1 species
GAUGAACGCUGGCGGCGUGCCUAAUACAUGCAAGUCGAACGCUUUGUGGUUCAACUGAUUUGAAGAGCUUGCUCAGAUAUGACGAUGGACAUUGCAAAGAGUGGCGAACGGGUGAGUAACACGUGGGAAACCUACCUCUUAGCAGGGGAUAACAUUUGGAAACAGAUGCUAAUACCGUAUAACAAUGACAACCGCAUGGUUGUUAUUUAAAAGAUGGUUCUGCUAUCACUAAGAGAUGGUCCCGCGGUGCAUUAGCUAGUUGGUAAGGUAAUGGCUUACCAAGGCGAUGAUGCAUAGCCGAGUUGAGAGACUGAUCGGCCACAAUGGGACUGAGACACGGCCCAUACUCCUACGGGAGGCAGCAGUAGGGAAUCUUCCACAAUGGGCGAAAGCCUGAUGGAGCAACGCCGCGUGUGUGAUGAAGGGUUUCGGCUCGUAAAACACUGUUGUAAGAGAAGAAUGACAUUGAGAGUAACUGUUCAAUGUGUGACGGUAUCUUACCAGAAAGGAACGGCUAAAUACGUGCCAGCAGCCGCGGUAAUACGUAUGUUCCAAGCGUUAUCCGGAUUUAUUGGGCGUAAAGCGAGCGCAGACGGUUAUUUAAGUCUGAAGUGAAAGCCCUCAGCUCAACUGAGGAAUUGCUUUGGAAACUGGAUGACUUGAGUGCAGUAGAGGAAAGUGGAACUCCAUGUGUAGCGGUGAAAUGCGUAGAUAUAUGGAAGAACACCAGUGGCGAAGGCGGCUUUCUGGACUGUAACUGACGUUGAGGCUCGAAAGUGUGGGUAGCAAACAGGAUUAGAUACCCUGGUAGUCCACACCGUAAACGAUGAGUGCUAGGUGUUUGAGGGUUUCCGCCCUUAAGUGCCGCAGCUAACGCAUUAAGCACUCCGCCUGGGGAGUACGACCGCAAGGUUGAAACUCAAAGGAAUUGACGGGGACCCGCACAAGCGGUGGUGCAUGUGGUUUAAUUCGAAGCAACGCGAAGAACCUUACCAGGUCUUGACAUCCCUUGACAACUCCAGAGAUGGAGCGUUCCCUUCGGGGACAAGGUGACAGGUGGUGCAUGGUUGUCGUCAGCUCGUGUCGUGAGAUGUUGGGUUAAGUCCCGCAACGAGCGCAACCCUUAUUACUAGUUGCCAGCAUUCAGUUGGGCACUCUAGUGAGACUGCCGGUGACAAACCGGAGGAAGGUGGGGAUGACGUCAAAUCAUCAUGCCCCUUAUGACCUGGGCUACACACGUGCUACAAUGGCGUAUACAACGAGUUGCCAACCCGCGAGGGUGAGCUAAUCUCUUAAAGUACGUCUCAGUUCGGAUUGUAGGCUGCAACUCGCCUACAUGAAGUCGGAAUCGCUAGUAAUCGCGGAUCAGCACGCCGCGGUGAAUACGUUCCCGGGUCUUGUACACACCGCCCGUCACACCAUGAGAGUUUAUAACACCCAAAGCCGGUGGGGUAACCUUCGGGAGCCAGCCGUCUAAGGUGGGACAGAUGAUUAGGGUG